rnacentral:rRNA from 2 species
UCUAAGCAUGAAGCCCCCCUCAAGAUGAGAUUUCCCAACUUCGGUUAUAAGAUCCCUCAAAGAUGAUGAGGUUAAUAGGUUCGAGGUGGAAGCAUGGUGACAUGUGGAGCUGACGAAUACUAAUCGAUCGAAGACUUAAUCAAAA